UACGUAGGGUGCGAGCGUUGUCCGGAAUUAUUGGGCGUAAAGGGCUCGUAGGCGGUUUGUCGCGUCGGGAGUGAAAACACACAGCUUAACUGUGUGCUUGCUUCCGAUACGGGCAGACUAGAGGUAUGCAGGGGGAGAACGGAAUUCCUGGUGUAGCGGUGAAAAUGCGCAGAUAUCAGGAGGAACACCGGUGGCGAAGGCGGUUCUCUGGGCAUUACCUGACGCUGAGGAGCGAAAAGUGUGGGGAGCGAACAGG
rnacentral:rRNA from 1 species